rnacentral:lncRNA from 1 species
GCAAUCCAACUUUGAUCAAGCCUAUUGUAUUGAAGAAAUUAAAAUACUAGUACAUAACGUUGUUUGAACAGGAAUAUUUAUGAACACAAUACUUAUACAGUACAAAAAACCUUGAAAAACUUAAAUAUUCAUCAAUAGAAGGAAUUAUGUCACCAUUUAAAAGGAGAUAUUUAACUAUUGCUCUUGAGGAAUUUGGUUGCAGAGAAAUACAUAUUACAAUUUUGCAGAAAUGAAACAAAGCGAAACCCAAAGCCAACCUCCAUAUAUGUAUGUGUGUAUAUGUGUGUAACAGCACGGGGAAAGGCAUGGAAGAACACACGUCAACCUGCUACCAUUUAUUAGUGGAGGGAGGAUGUUUUCUUCCCUCUCUGUACUCUUGAAUUGCUUCAUUGUUUACAAUAACUUCAUUACAUUUUUCAAUGUUGGGAGAGGAAUUUAAGAUAAAUGGUGGGAGUGAGCGGGGGCAGGGAAGAGAAGUUGUCAAGGAAGAUACAGGAGAAAUCCCAUGCUGGGAGAACCUGGCCACUCUAGUUGGGGGUUUGCAGAAAGCAAAAGCCAGGGGUCUGGCCUGGGCACUGAGGGGGAUGGGGUGGAGUAGAGUCUGGGGGUGCACACAUUGUUGAGCGACCUGGCUAUUUGAACUCAAGGAGCUUAUCUAGAACAUCCUUUGAGAAGGCCAGAGAGGAUGAUGGAUCACUGGGUAGUAGCCUGCAGUAAGAGGAAUUUAAAACGCUUUACCAUAAAGAAUAACUGCUCCCAAAAUAUUAAAAGAAUGAGGUUCUCAAGGUUAUUUUGAAGAAUUCGGUGAGAUCCACCUGAGGAAAUUAAAUUAGUACUACCUAGCACGAGGUAACUGGCAUGUUGUCCGAAAGAGCUUUACCUAUACUGUCUCAUUUGAUACAAGGUACAAUCCUAUGAGGUAAGUAUUAUUAUCGUUAUUUUACAGAGGAGGAAACUGAGGUAUAGCGGGGUUCAGUAUCCCGCCCAUGGUCAUGCAGGUGGGAACAGGAGUGUUCCGGCUCCGAAGUCCUGGCUCUUGGAAGCCACACUAAAGGCUGCGUCCUUCCAGGGCGCAACUCUGGGCGCAAAUGUUACACUCUCCUCCCCUCACCCGGUGGGGGUGGAGUGGGGAGAAAGGGCCUUCUCCGUGCGCCUGCCGGGAUGGCCGGAGUUCGGUGGGGCCAAGCUGAGGUUCCUCUCCUGGGGCUGGGCAGGGUUUGGGCUAACUCUUCUCCCGCCGGCAUUCGGGUUUGGGGGCCGAGGCUGCCCAAGAGUUAACCUCCAAAAGGGCCCUGCAGGGGGUGCUUUCUCUACACUGUUCUUCUCUUGGGUAGUGGAGGGGUUGGUGGGGGAACCACAAGCUACAAGAUUACAAAGUUGCUAGACUCCUUAGCCUAGGGAGGUACGAUGAUUUGGGACCGGGUGUGGAGGUGUGGGCGGGGUGGGGGGUGCGGUGUCUUCCGGAGCCCUAAGCUGGCGUCCUCAGCCGCUCCUUUCCGUUCCUACCCCCCACCCCCAGCUCACCACUUCGUUUUCACGUCUGGGAGGGGAGCGGGGGGCGGUGAUGGGGAGGAGACCAACGCUUUGAUUUCCCCUGGUAGGUGUUCUGAGUGGCUAGGGAUCCUUCCCUCGCGUGCCCCUGGGUCGGGGCGGUAGACAGCUCCAGAGGAUGGACGGCCAGCGUGAAAGCUAGAGCUCGUGUAUUGUAGGGAAAAGUGGGGGUGGCGGGGAGAUAAUGGUUGAAUACCUUCCUGAUAUUUGAGGGAGAAUUCGGCAAGGGGGAAAUCUCUGGCUCCAUCUUUGGCUGACUCAUCGGAUUUCCUGGGGUGGGCUCCGGGAGAAGGCUCGGGGCUGGCGCUCCUGCCUCGGUCCGUCCAGCACCAAGACGCCAGGUUCCCGGCGGCCCUGGCCCUCUGGGGGUACUGAUUACAGUGGAAAGAUCUCUGCGUCCGCAGAAGGAGAAUUUGUGUCAAGGUUCUUGUGCGCCUUUUCUUCUCUGGGGGUUCUGAAUGAAAAUAAGUCCCAAGGUCAUCUUUGUCCCUUAGCUCUUGCCCAGAGCUCUAUCUGCGUCUCCAAGCUUCUCCAUCAUCUCCUUUUGUGUUUCAGGUGAUCGCCCACCUUUCUUCCCUUCUAACCCUACUUCCGGAUCUUUUUCCCCCUCGUUUCUCCCCGUGUCCCCCAUUUUCCACGCUCGAGUCCUUUUUCUCGUGCCAGUUUCCUCCCUCCGUCCGAUUUCCUUUCCCACGGGCCCUGGAGUUCCUCGGGCCCAGGCAGGGCUCUGGAACUGGCCUGACAUGUUCAUAAUAAGGAUUGUCAGACACGGUACUCAAGUGAACUACCUUGUCUUGAACUUACUAGGACAGAGGAUGUGAUAAAGGAGGUCCUUCUCUAAUCCCAACAGCUCCUCAAAGGCUCGAAGCCAGCCUGAGUGGGCCACUUGAAGAGCCACGGGCUGUGGGAAGAUACGGAGAGGCUACUCCGACGUGGGGAGGAGGAAGCACGGUUUCGGGGAAGUGGCCAAGUGGCUUAAGUGAGGAGGGUCUGCUUGAAGGUGGCAGGUCUGCUUGAAGCGGCUUCCUGAAGAGGUGAGCUUAUCACCGGCAUCCUGUGUCCCUUCAGGUUCCCUGAGAACUGGGUCAAGAAAGCAGGUUGGGGUAGGAAACAAACGACACCCCCAUUUCAAACAAUAACUUUUAUUUUAUACUUCUCUAUACUUUGUAGCAAAUCUUUUUUUGCUGAAUUUAAUUUAUAAUAAACUUUUUAAAUUACAUCUCUCUCUCUUUUUUUUUUAAAAUCAAGGCUCUUUUAUGUCAAAAUCUUUUUUUAGCUAUAUUUUAGAUUAACAUUUAACAUCCCCCCCUUGUGAUCUAUACCGUUGGAUAUUCAGGUAUUACUGUGUGUGUAACAGCUAAAACAAGAGGGAGGAGGGAAAAUAAAGGCAGUGAACUUGGACGGAUGCAUCAACAACAGCAGAUAAAGCUAACCCCUCAGUGACCAUAGCAGCAUGUCUUCUGGAAGCCUUUACUCUUACCCCAGAGAUUUCCUCAGCCCCUUCCCUCUCUCCCUCCUAUCCUCCAAACACAAAGCCAACAGUCUGUCCUUUCGCUUUUCUUGAGGAGAAAUGUGCAGUGGAAAUGAUCAAAACAAGAUACUGUGGAAGAACGACGUGAGCGUGAAUUAUUCACCGUAUGUUUCGUCCGUGGACAUCUCUCUUGAAUUCAUUCCCCUGGCCUUCUCCUCUCCUCGCCUUCCUAUUAGGAGGAGCCCAUCAUUUUUCAUGUUACUAGCAUGAUUAAUAUAGUAGGUGGCCCAGGGCCGUUCCUGAGAUUCUUUUGCCAACAAAAAAAAUUAAUAAUAAUAAAAUUAAAAAAUGGGGUGGGUUUGCCGUUUUCUUAUUUGUGUGUGAAGACGGACUAAAGCUGAGGUCCGAUUUUGGCUGUGCUUGCUUGCUCACUGAUUGGUAACAUUUGGCAAAUAAAA